GACAAACUUUACCUUCGCGGGCAUUUUGAUCCACUUCAUCUCGGAAAGCUGUUAUUCGGAGAAGAAAAGGAUGCAGAAUAACAGCUAAUAUUAAUGGAUCAUUCUAUUCAAGAGAAAGUCAACUGGAACGUGGAUGUUUUCAUAACAGGCUUAAAGAUGAACAAAUUGAUAAAGAAACCCUCCUGCUGCCACUUCCAAAAGUGCACGCCACACUGUUGUCUACAACUCUCAGGAAAAGAAUCCUCUUUAGCAAGACUGCUCCGUGGAUAUCUCAGGUUAAGCAGUGCUGAAACCGAAAGAACUAACGCUCUUUAAAAUGUUUUGUGAGUUUAGGGUGUCCCUUUUUCACAUCCAUAACGCUUGUUUAUUUAUUUUUUUAUAGAAAACUUGUGCAUAGACUGAUAUUUUAUCAUAUAAAUGCGGUUCUAUCAACAAGGGUUUAGUAAAAUACUUUUCAUAGUGUUUUUAUGUCGCAUCCAUAACGCUGGAAUUGACCUAAAGCAUUUUACUCGUGCCACUUUGUUAACUGUAUAUGAAUUUUUGAAGUGUUAAGUUGUCUAACUAUUUAUAUUUACUUGUGCCACUUUAAUAACCUUGUUAAAUGUAUAUGUUAAAAUCUAAACUAAUGUAAUUUAUUGAAGUUAAUUUUCCUUAAAUAUGUAUAAACAUACAUUUCAUCAAAGUGUUUUAUAUGCCAUUUUAUUGUUCAUUGAGCAUAACAUAUUGCAUGUUUUUAUGAAUUCCUUUUGUCUUGCAUUUUGAUCCUUAAUAAAACUUUUGAUUCUUACUGAUGCCUCGAGUAUUUCUCUGUGAUUUUGUUAUUAUUAUUUUUAAACAUUUCGGGUUUGUUUUAAACCAGCAAUGUAAUUUUUAAGCAAAAGUUGAUUUAAAUAAAACAACCCAGCAUGUUGGGUCAAAGAUAUAACCCAACUGGCUGGGUUAAAAUAACCCAACGCUGGGUUUGUCCAUAUUUGACCCAA